AGUGAACGCUGGCGGUAGGCCUAACACAUGCAAGUCGAACGGCAGCACAGUAAGAGCUUGCUCUUACGGGUGGUGAGUGGCGGACGGGUGAGGAAUACAUCGGAAUCUACUUUUUCGUGGGGGAUAACGUAGGGAAACUUACGCUAAUACCGCAUACGACCUACGGGUGAAAGCAGGGGAUCUUCGGACCUUGCGCGAUUGAAUGAGCCGAUGUCGGAUUAGCUGGUUGGCGGGGUAAAGGCCCACCAAGGCGACGAUCCGUAGCUGGUCUGAGAGGAUGAUCAGCCACACUGGAACUGAGACACGGUCCAGACUCCUACGGGAGGCAGCAGUGGGGAAUAUUGGACAAUGGGCGCAAGCCUGAUCCAGCCAUACCGCGUGGGUGAAGAAGGCCUUCGGGUUGUAAAGCCCUUUUGUUGGGAAAGAAAAGCAGCAGGUUAAUACCCCGCUGUUCUGACGGUACCCAAAGAAUAAGCACCGGCUAACUUCGUG
rnacentral:rRNA from 1 species